rnacentral:tRNA from 2 species
CGGGACGUGGCGCAGCCUGGUAGCGCACGCGCUUUGGGAGCGCGGGGUCGUCAGUUCGAAUCUGACCGUCCCGA